CCCUGGAGAGGAAGCAGGUGUGGGGUUGUCUCUUUGUCUGGAUGGGUGUGUGGCAUUGCUGUUCCUGCUCACAGCUGGGAAAACUGAGCAGUGAAAUGAAACACGAGAGAAGGCAUUUCCAUUGAUGAGUGAGAAAUCUCCGUCCUCUUUCUGGGAACCGUAGACAUCAGCUGGGUUGGACCUGGAGCGAGAUCAAGUAUUUCACGACCUAGUGGAAGUCACAAACAAUAUGGGGCCAAGCAUUCGUAAUGUUUGGUGCCUGUUUGUGUAGCUAUUGCAGCUAAUAUCCCAAAUAAAUACCUCUGUGACUAAUUUCUUGGAAGGAUAAAACACAAUGAAAGGAGCUGUCACAUGAAAAGAGAUGAUUUUGAUGUUUGUUUUGUGUUUAUAAACAUAAAUUCUGCCUCUUGGGCUGUGUAAUAUGCUUCAUCUAAAACCCUGUUAGUCUCUUGCUAGAAAAACAUAUUUGUUUUCUGUCCUCGUCUCCAAAAGCCAAAGAAGCAGCCUUAUCCUUCUCUCUGGGCUCAGGCAAACCUCUGCAUGUUUUGCUGAAGAUCUAGAGGUACAAAGUCUUAAAUUCUAAAAAUAAUUACAGUUUCAU